UCGCGGAUCAGCAUGCCGCGGUGAAUACGUUCCCGGGCCUUGUACACACCGCCCGUCACACCAUGAGAGUUGGGAAUACCCGAAGCCUGUGAGCUAACUUUUAAGAGGCAGCAGUCGAAGGUAGAAUCAAUGAUUGGGGUGAAGUCGUAACAAGGUACC
rnacentral:rRNA from 1 species